UACGGAGGGUGCAUGCGUUAUCCGGAUUCACUGGGUUUAAAGGGUGCGUAGGUGGGCAAGUAAGUCAGUGGUGAAAUCUCCGGGCUUAACCCGGAAACUGCCAUUGAUACUAUUUGUCUUGAAUACUGUGGAGGUCAGCGGAAUAUGUCAUGUAGCGGUGAAAUGCUUAGAUAUGACAUAGAACACCAAUUGCGAAGGCAGCUGGCUACACAAAUAUUGACACUGAGGCACGAAAGCGUGGGGAUCAAACAGG
rnacentral:rRNA from 1 species